AUGCACAUGCUUGUUGGUGCUGGUGACAGAGGCGGCACUGUGGACGCUGCCAACAUCCUCAAGCUGGCGUUGGCCCGUGGUCGCAUCCGUUGCAUAGGUGCUACCACGUCGAAAGAGUACCGAAAAUACAUAGAAAGGGAUGUGGCACUGGAGCGACGGUUCCAAAGGGUUGACGUCGAUGAGCCGAGCGUCCAGGCGACCCUUGCCAUCCUGCAGGGGUUGAAGCAGCGGUACCAAGAUCACCAUGGCCUGAUAAUUCAGGACGACGCUCUUGUUUCUGCUGCCCAGCUCGCUGACCGUUAUAUUACAGGCCGCCAAUUUCCUGACAAAGCAAUUGAUCUAAUGGACGAGGCAUGCACUGCUGUGAAGUUGCAUCAACCAAAAAAGGUGAAAAAUAAGAAAACUAGCACUAUAAAUGCAGUGGAGGAGAUAACCGUUGGUCCAUGUCAUAUUGCACAGGUUGUGGGCUGA
rnacentral:rRNA from 1 species